AGCAGGCAUCGCACACGGCGCGCCAUUCUACCGGGCUGGUCGAGGCCGUCGCGAAUGGCAUUGAUUAGCCGUUCGCCGCGGUUGCCUGCCA
rnacentral:tRNA from 1 species